rnacentral:lncRNA from 1 species
GCAAACAUAUUACUGAAGGCAAGCAACCGUUGCAAGAACAAUUAAAAAAAUCUAAAUAUAUUUAUUAAUUAUUUUUAAUGCAUAUUCAAGAUUAUGAGCAAAAGCGAAUUCAUCUGAACAUAUAAGUAAAGUUUUGGAUAAGUGUGCUAUGUAUGCGUAUUUUCUGUCAGUUUUUAGAUGAAGCUAGCUAAUGUUUGUAAAGUGUAGAUGUUUUGUGCAUUGGGUUGUUUUGUGGGCGAAGAGAGCUCAAGUCAUCACUGAAAUCUGUUAAAUAUCAAAAAAAUGAGUUAAGUUAAUAUUAUAAAGUAAGAGAUAGAGAAUGUAAGCAAUCAAAAUUCAUAUCUAAGCCAAACCUCUCCCACCUUCCUGUCUUUCUCUCUCGGUUAGCCUUAUUUGUAGCAUACUUCGCCUCAAAUUAAUAGAUAGAAUCUUCUUGCAUUUUUAGCCUUGAACUUGGGGAUAAUGGAUACUCUAUGACCAUUUUCUUGGUUCUUGAAAACAUUACAAAUUUUAAAGUGACAAUCAUGAAAGAAGCAUUUCGACCACAUAAAUGGACUGACAGCUAUGAGUAUACAAUAUGCAUCAUAUCAAGUUCAAGCCUGAAAAACAGUUUGGCAAAAAUGCAAGGUAAGGAUGCGUAC